GCCGGGCACGGUGGCGCACGCCUGUAAUCCCAGAGGCUCAGGAGGCUGAGACGGGAGGAUCGCGAGUUCAAAGCCAGCCUCAGCAACCAGUGAGGCACUAAGCAACUCAGUGAGACCCUGUCUCUA
rnacentral:sRNA from 1 species